rnacentral:rRNA from 1 species
UUUAAAGAGAGUUUGAUCCUGGCUCAGGACGAACGCUGGCGGCGUGCCUAAUACAUGCAAGUCGAACGAACGGAGGAAGAGCUUGCUCUUCCAAAGUUAGUGGCGGACGGGUGAGUAACACGUGGGCAACCUGCCUGUAAGUUGGGGAUAACUCCGGGAAACCGGGGCUAAUACCGAAUGAUAAAGUGUGGCGCAUGCCACGCUUUUGAAAGAUGGUUUCGGCUAUCGCUUACAGAUGGGCCCGCGGUGCAUUAGCUAGUUGGUAGGGUAAUGGCCUACCAAGGCAACGAUGCAUAGCCGACCUGAGAGGGUGAUCGGCCACACUGGGACU